UCAAACUUGAUCAAUAGCUUUAGAUUAUUUUCGAAUCUAGGCGCCCUAGGAUUUUGGGGGGGCCAUGUACGUUAAUAGUAAAUGUCUUAUGUGUUAGCAUACAAUAAUCACAAUUCAAUCCGCGGGAAAGAAACCACCCAAUUGGGCAAUGAAGAACCAUCAACUAACACGAGAACCUGCGACACAAUUACAAAUUUGCUACAAGAUCGUUUUUUUAAGCUCUCGUGUCUUUCAAAGUCGUGCAUUUGCACAUAAUAGCGAAUCCGAUACCUUCUUGAUCUUUAUUUGAAGUCGUCAUAGACACACGUUCAUUAAGCUACUUGUUUUAAUUGCACUGUCAAUUCUCGCAUCUAAUUCUCCCUUGAGUGUUGAUAAACUAACAAGCGUCAACUUAUUUAAUUGCUCGUUAAUUUCCAAAUCUGCUUUCAUUUUUUUUUUUUUCCAAAUUGCACUGUCGUUUUACAUAAAGCCAAAUUGCACUGUCGUUUUACAUAAAGCGUCAACUUAUUUAAUUGCUCGUUAAUUUCCAAAUCUGCUUUCAUUUUUUUUUUUUUCCAAAUUGCACUGUCGUUUUACAUAAAGUGUCGUUUCGUUCUGAUUCUGCACAUGAGAAUUGCUUACAAUAGAUAGUAUGUGAUUGGAGAAAUUAGGUUUUGAUAGGGGUAAGUUAAAGAUGAUUUCAUGGGGCGGCAUCAGCUGCUGCUUGAGUGGAGCUGCUCUUUAUCUGCUCGGCCGGAGCAGUGGCAGGUCACAACUCCCUAAUUUCUCUUCCUUUUUCUUUUUUGGCAUUAAAAGAUUAGGUAUAUAGAAACAUGAAUUUCAUGUAAUUUUAUUUGUUUGUUAAAUUUUGUGUGUUUUGGUUUGUUGCAGAGAUGCGGAGCUUCUUAAGACAGUCACGCGUGUCAAUCAACUCGAGGAGUUGGGUAUGUGAAGGUCCAAUUGUUAUUUUGGUUUUGAUGGGCUUAAAUGCUCGCCUGCCUGCUUGCAGAUUGUUAGUUUUUUGUUUGGUUUGGAUGUUGACACAAAAGAUGUUCUGUAGACAUAUUUACAACAUAAUUAGGCAAUAUGGAUGUAUUUGUAUUUGUAUUUCCCUAUGCGUAAUGUUAAUGACUUAGACUUGAUGCUAUGACUGAAUUUUGUGAAAGGAACAUAUAAGUCUGGUUGUAUACUCGUUCUUUCUAUUUCCACCUGUGAAUACUGAUUUGUUGAUAUUGCGUGAUCGAAUUCUGAUAAAGUUGUUGGAAUAGUUAUCCACCUUGAAACAUUUAAAACUUAUACCCUGAUUGGCAACUGGGUUGAUUGUUAUGUUGAAAAAUGAGCUAGGGGACAUUAGUGCAAAUGUCUGUUGAAGUUCAUAUUGCAGGCGUAGUGCAGACAACUUAGGUUACAUGUGGAACAUAUGUUGGUUGCCGAUUUAGUUUGUUGCUGAUGGCAUUGUUGAUGCUGCAAUAUCUUUCCCAAAGAAUAAGGUUUUCUCUUCUUUCACCUUUCAGCACACUUAUUGGAUGGUGGAAGUAAAGUUUUGCCAUCCAUUGUUUCGGUCUCUGGAAGAGUUGGCUCUGAAACACCAAUUAGCUGUGAAUAUAGUGGGUUGAGAGGCGUGAUUGUUGAGGAAACGGUGGAACUUAAUUUCUUUUUUUUCAAUUACGAGCAUAAAUUGCAUUAUUUAUCAACGUUCCUUUUUGUAUGAAUACAUAAACAUUCUUGUCCUUUGGUUCUUCAGACUGAACGACACUUUCUGAAACACAAUGAUGCCGGGUCUUGGAUCCAAGAUUCUGCAUUAAUGUUGUCAAUGAGCAAGGAGGUUCCAUGGUAUCUAGUGAGACUCCCUCUCUAUCUCUCUGUCUAACCUGCUUGUUUAGUCAGUAAAUCCACUGUAAAUAUUGCUUUUGAUGGUUCGAUGAAACUGCUUAUUUGAAAGCCAAAAGUGAAGGUUUAUGAUUACUAUUGUAUCAUAUAUAAACUCCAAUGCUGGAUUCGAGGGGAUUCAUUGAUGAUUUCUUUUGCACUUAUCAGGAUGAUGGGACUGGCUGUGUGUUUGUAGUGGGAGCCCGUGGUGCCACAGGUUUUGCAUUGACUGUUGGAAGUGAAGUUUUUGAAGAGUCAGGAAGAUCACUUGUACAUGGAACAUUAGACUACCUCCAAGGCCUCAAGGUUUUUGUUCUUCAACUUUUUCAUUAUACGAGAACACCCACAUUGUUCUUGCUUGGCUUAUUUGAUGGGAGUUUAUGAUUUUAGAUGCUUGGAGUCAAGCGUAUUGGACGGCUACUCCCAACUGGUACUUCGUUGACUGUAGUUGGAGAGGUAUGGCUUACUUUAGUGAAUAAAAUAAUAUGGCAUCUUGUCUUUUUGUAUACAAUGCGAUUGAACAUUAUCAGAUUUAACUUUUGAGAUAGAUAUACUGCUAAAAUAACAAGGUCUACUAGAUGAAGAUGUAUUGAAAGUAAUUGCCUUUAGUAAUACGCAUGACAAAGGGAAAAAAUAAAUAAAUAAAAGGGAAGAUAACAUUGCUUGGAAUCCAGAAUGUGGGUCUCUGCAAGUCAAUUCUGAUUGUCGAAGAAUGAAUUUUGCAUGAAUAGGAAUACGAAUUCUUUAUAGCAGCACAAUUGACCUUGUUGUUAGUUUGUGGGUGGAAAACCAUUACACUUGCUCCAGCCAAUGAGUUUUGUAUUGUCAUAGUGCAACAUUUUGUCAAUGUUUAAUAUGUAGUCCGCUUCCAAUUUCUGUUGAUUUAAUGUGAGCCAUUUUUCCUGUGUUCAUCAUAUGUGUUUGCCAAUGAUUAUGCUAAGUUAUUUACUUGCAUCUGCUUUUGUUAUUUUAAUUUGCAAUCAGGCUGUGAAAGACGAUAUUGGAACAGUUAGGAUUCAGCGACCACACAAAGGGCCUUUUUAUGUAUCUCCCAAAACAAUUGAUGAGCUCCUUGAAAACCUUGGGAAAUGGGCGAGGUUGUUUAUAACACAAGCACACAAUGAUUGCUCCUUUUUUCACACAAAUUCACAAGUUUGAAUCCAUUAGAAUAAUAGAGAGAAAGAAACUAAUGAGAUGUAUCUACCAGGUGGUACAAGUAUGCCUCUUUUGGUUUAACAAUCUUCGGCGCUUUCUUGAUUGCUAAGCGUGUUAUUCGUUGUAUCUUGCAAAGAAAGCGACGUUGGGAAUUACGUAGACGGUAUGCUUAAUUGAUCAUUACGCAGAACAGAAUACAAACAGUCAACAUACAUGCAUAACGAGAUUCUGUAUGUAGCCACCAGUGAUAAACCUGUGUCAUUGAACAUAAGUAUUUACAUGCAAGUUGAAAGUGAAAUCAUGGUUGGCCAAUUCUUUUGCCAAAAAUUCAUCAUGAUAUUAUUUCAUCAGUAACACAGAUAGUUCUUAUUUUUUCAUGAUAAACUGAAUUGUAAAGCUCUGUCCAUGUAGGGUUCUUGCUGCAGCAGCAGUCCAGAGAUCAGAGCAAGAUAAUGAAGGUAAAUUGUCUGGUUAGUUACAUAGUUGUUGUUAUAAAAGAACAAAUAAAAUAGAUAUGAUCUAGUCUCACAAUGUUGCAUUUAUUUUUCAGGCACAAAUGGGCAAGCUGAGAAUGGAUCAGAUAGUACUCAAAGAGAUCGUGUGAUGCCAGAUCUAUGUGUGAUAUGCCUUGAGCAAGAGUACAAUGCUGUUUUUUUCCCGUACGCACACUCGCUCUCUAUUAUUUGAUUUGUACAGACUGUCGAAUAACUGUGAGAAAAAGACUAUAAAUCGACAGUCUGUAUAAAUCGCAUUUUGAGUUUCGACUUAUGCAGCUUUGGAAUUGAACAAAUUGCCUGCUGCUUAUGUUCUGUAGGUGUGGUCAUCUGUGCUGUUGCCUUAUAUGCUCUUCGCGCUUGACAAACUGUCCUCUUUGUCGGAGACGGAUCGAUCAGGUGGUGAGGACUUUCCGGCAUUGAGGAUUUGCAUGCUUCUGAUAUAUUUGUAGCAACUGUACUGCUAAGAAAUGUGCGGAUGUUCAGGAUCUUAAUUUUUUAGCCAUUUAUGAUUUUGAGGGUGUAAAAUUCUCCUCAUGAUUGCAGUAACUUAACAUGGUAACAUGUUGUGUAAGAGCAUCUCCAAAAGGCCGUAUUCAUUUUACUCUUUAAAUAUCUAUUUACUUACUUAUGUGGUAAAAAGAAGAGUAAAAUAAUAUAUUAUUUUUCAAAAAACUCUUCAAAUAUAAAUAAGUUAAUAUUAUUUUAUCAAAUAAAUAUUUUUUCAAAGGAAAAAUAAAUAGUAAUUAAAAUAUUUUUCUUUCUCUAAUAAAAAGUAAUAAAAUAUAAAUUGAAGAGAGAAAAAGUAACUCUACAAAAUUAAAGAGGGAGAAUCAUUUUUUAUUUUAAAAAUCUUAAUUAGAGUAUCUUUUAAAAUUUUAAAUGUUGAUGUAUCUCUUCAAAUAAGUAAUAAAAUCUUUGAAGAGAUUUUUGGAAAUGUUCUAACUCCUCACUUCUCAACGGUCUAUGUAAAUGUUUAGAGCAGAGAAGAAUGAAUUUAUACGUGGUUGCAGUUAAAUUUAUUUUUAAGUAUAUUGGUACUUGAGUUCCUUUUUCAUUUGUUCAUCAUGUUUAUUUAUCUAUGUAUAUUCUUCUACAAUAUCUAUGCGUUGAAUUUAUUAGGGUAGAUUGUCAAUUUUCCCCCUAUAGUAAUUAACAUAUACCAUUUUCCUCCUUACUGUUUUCAUAAUGGCCAAAAACCCCCUGACGGCAUAAGUUUACAAUAUUACCCUUAUUUUCAAUUAUUUUUUAUUUUUAUUUAUUAUAAAUUAAAUAAAUUACAUGAAUAGAAACAAAAUGAAAAAUUAAACAUGAAAAACAAGAAAUAUAUGUUUUGAUAUGACCAAAAAAAUUAAUAAUGAAUUUUUUUUCUUGUACUUAUUUAUUUUGUAAAAAUUUUCUUAUAAUAAAUAUAUAAGAAAAUUAUUAUAAAAUGAUAAAAAAAUUAUUAUAAGAAAACUUGAAUGACAAAUAAAAAUUUAUUAUAAGAUAAAUAAUAAAAUAUUUUGCCUAUACUUUUUACAUUUAAUUUUAAAAAGAAAAUGUUCAAAAAAUAAAUAAUUACAAGAAAAAAAAUUAUUAUUUUUUUGCUCAUAUCAAAACAUACAUUUCUUAUUUUUAAUACUUAAUUUUUUUAUUUAGUUUCUAUUCAUGUAAUUUAUUUAAUUUAUAAUAAAUAUAAAUAAAAGAGUAGUUAAAAAUAAGGGUAAUAUUAUAAACUUAUGCUGUUAUAAAGGUUUUUGGCCAUUAUAAAAAUAACAAAAAAAUAAAUAAUAUAUGUUAAUUACAGUGGGAGGAAAAGUGACAAUCUCCUAAUUUAUUAGUGUGUAUUAGACCAUCUAUUCCGCCUGCCAUUCAUCGGAAAUUAAGUUUCCAUAAAUUAAUAAUUAUGGCAGUGGCUAAGGCCUAGUCCUACAGGCUAGGGGUGGUGCCCCAGGCUUAUGUGAAUGAUGACACAAACCAUUUAUAAGCUAACAGCAAUAAAGGAAAUUUGUUUUUCUUGGUAUAAAUGAAUGAAUUAAUUAACAAAAGCGAGGAGAAGCGAAUGUGGAUAGGAAAGGAAAAAAAAUAAAGAAAGAAGAUCACAUGGUUAAAUGUCACAUUAAAUAAUAAAUUUUUUCCCUCAUGUUCUCACCACCCUCUCUCUUUUAGAUUCCUUUAACCAAACACGUAUUCAGUUUCACACUUUUCGCCUAAAAUAUGGGUUGAGACGUGUCAAACUUUUAUCAAUAGCUUUAGAUUAUUUUCGAAUCCAGGCGCCUCAGGAUUUAGGGGGGCAUAUACUUCAACAGUAAAUGUUUCAUAUGUUAGCUUAUAAUAAUAACAAUUCAAUCGGCGGGAAGGAAACUACCCAAUUGGGCAAUGAAACAUUAACAAACACGAGAAUCUGCGGCACACAAUUACAAAAUUUGCCACAAAACCCUUUUUUUUAAGCUCUCGUGUCUUUAAGUUCAUCAAGAAGUCGUGUGUUUGCACAUAUUAGUGAAUCUGAUACCUUCUUAAUCUUUAUUUGUCAUAGACAUACGUAUACUAAGCUACUUGUUUUGUGUCGUAUUGAAUUGUGUAUAACAGCUAGACACUAGUAAAAUAUUGGUAAUCAAGAUUCCGGUUUCCAGACUUCGAAGAUCAAAAAGGACAGAAGAAAAAGGCGAGGGAAUAUGAUCCCAAACCAUCACAUCAUUUUGAAAAAAUGGGAAAGUUUAUCGCUUUACCCAUAAGAAACGAGUGUCAUGGAAUCUAAGGCCGAAGCUUCGGCAGAUCAUCAAUGAGAAGAGAACCGUGCCAUUUGAUGUGCAUUAUAAAUUUCACCUAACUCUUGAAUUAUAUCUUCAGACUGGUGCAAUUGUAAAUCACUACUUGUUAAGCCUCAUCACAAUCAGCAAAUCAGCUUCUACGUAUUUUCAACUUAUUCGGUGAUAUCAAUGGAAAACAAACGCAGCAGCGGCCCAGUUGGUGCAUGUGAGAAAUUCUUCAAAGCAAUUGCUGCUAAUUCUCCUUUCAGGCCAAGCCGCCGCAUCUCAAGUCAUCAUCGCCCCCAAGAUUCCAAGCCUUCCAAUCCUUCGGCCAAAACUCAUCAUCACCAGACUCAGAAACAUCCCAAGCCAGUAGUAGCCCCAGCUGAAGUUGUUCCCAUCAAGUUUGAAUAUUCAGCUCCUGAUCCAUAUGCCAAGUCAGCAGCAACAACAUCACAGUUACCGGUUGCGCCGAAUAAUGGCAAAGUGGCCAGUGGACCUGCACCAAACAAAAACAUGCAACCUCCUGUAUCACAAUUUGUUCAAGCCAAAAAUAUUGCGUCCAAGCAUAAGCCCGAGGCAGCUGCUGCUCAAGAAAAGAGGCACAAGGCCACCACUGGCCGCAGGAUGGAAAGCAGUAACAACAAAACGAAUGCGAAUAGUAUUAUUGACGAAGAUGAAGAUGUAUUUAGCAAAUACAUCAAACGUGCAGGGAUAAAGAUUAGAGCUCCGUCAAGUGUUGGAGGUGACGGAAAGAUUAAUGCACCGUCAGCAAGAGGGGGAGAAGGCACGGCGGGCAAAGAUCAUUUCUCGGAUUAUAUCAACCGUGCUAAGCAGAAGAUGAUCAGGACUAUGUCAAGCUUUGCUGGUGCAGGGACUGACUCCAACAAAUGAAAUCUUUUCAAUGCCUCUGCAUUAUAAGCUCUGAUGGGGUGCCGCCUCUUCUGUCACAAUAUUACCUGAAAUUAAGGUUUCAUGAAUAAUGGGGGUUUGUGUUGCUUUGAUAAUAUUUGCCAAUUAUAUUGCUAUUAAUUUCAUCUUCUUGUGUUAUGCUGUUUAUUACUUCAUUGUAUUAAUAUCUUGUGAGGGUCUAUCAUCCCACUUGAUUUCUGGGAUUGAUCAUGUCAAAUAAAAUUAUAUUGUUUGUGCAUCUUUUAUUUUCUCAUAAUCAAAGUACAUGAAUAUAUAUAUAUAUAUAUAAAUUUGGAUGAACUGAUGAAUCAUAUUUAAAUCCAC
rnacentral:lncRNA from 1 species